CCUAUGUUGUAGGGAAGUCCUAAGUAGGCAGAUCAAUGCUACGGUUUGGUGGAUUUUGGACUGAACAGAGGAAGACUUGUGUUACUGGCUCACCUUGCUCUGGAACCAUCUUUCAGCCUCCCUGCGAUUUUUCUCAAUAAGCAUCUCAUACUGAGCUCUCAUCUCCUGCAACUCCUUAUCAAGAUCUGGCUGAGCUGCACAGUCCAUCUCCACGUUCACAGAGCCGCUUUGCCUCUCUCGCAACAAAUGAAGAUCCUGUGGAGAAAGAAGAGGAGGGAAAGAGCACAACUCCUCUUUCAGUCCAGUUAGCUGGUUAUCCAGGUCUCCAAUGGACAGCUUCAUCUCUCCCAGAAUCCCUCGCAGUCGAGCCGAAU